rnacentral:lncRNA from 1 species
UUGUUAUUACAGGGAUAAACUAUUGAUGAUGGACUUUUAAACCUUAGAAGACAGUAGAAUUCUUUCUCUACGUGACUCUUCUAAUGGAUUGCUGUUUCCGCUGCAUUUGUUGAUCUAAAACUUGUUGUCUAUUGUAUUCUAUUAGAUUUUUCCUGUUGAAGACUAACGAUAAUUUGUUGUAUAUUAUCUUAGUCAUAAUAUUCUUUACUGGGCUAGUUGAGCUCACCCUUUUCCUUUUUGUUCCAUUUUUCUUCUCAGGAGGUGAGAACAUAGCAGAAUCGAGUCGGGGUAUGGAGUGAUGUUUCUAGGAAGAUGUUUUAGCUGUCCUCACUAUUUCUGUAAAAUAAUGUAUGAAUAAUUAAUGAGGACUUAUUUGGGUGUGUAUAUUGUCUAGAAGGCAAUAUUUGUAUUUAAACUCACAGUUGUAUUGUCGUAUUUCACACGACAUCUGUAUUAUCAAAG